UCUUUUCUAAGCUUAACACUCUCUUUGUCUUCUCAAUUUCAGUAGUUAAACUCAUCAAUUAAUCCUUUGAUUUAUGUGAUAGGCCUGCAUUUAAGAUGAAAAUUUAUCAUAUAUUUAAGGUAUCUUAUAGUAGUAGACUUGUUAUUAUAAAAUAUGAUUUAGUUAAGGAGUUAUUGAUACUUCAAGUGCAAAAUGAUGAUAUAAAAUCUUAAUAAAAAUGCACUUUUAAGUACUAAUCAUGCUCCCUCCUGCCCUAUCUCUUGAUCUCAUGGUAGCAUUGAAAUCUCCCAUCAGAAGCCAAAGAUAAGCGGAAUUAAAAGGGCUUUGUAAGAUGACAUGGUUCCACAUAGGUUCUCUUUUAGUAGGGGUGUUGUAUCCGUAUAUGAAGGUUAUUCUGAGGGGGUUGUUGUUAUGAGGAUAAAUGAUCUCACAGGUAAGCCAUUGGUGAGAGGUGUGUAUGCAUGCUAGGUGGAGUUUUUCGAGGGUUCUAGCCAACUAAAAUAUGAUAGUGGUUGGAAGAGCUUAAAUUGGAUAUGAAUUUCUAAUUGGGGAGGCCAAUGCCUAAUUCUACUGCAUCCAUGUUGCUGGCUGCUACCUUGGUUUCCAAUAAACCUAUGAUGUCUAGUAUGUUUUUGUUGGUCCAAUCCUGAACCAUUUUCUCUUUUUGAGACCAUUGAAGCUCCUAAUGUUCCAACUUCCUAUAUUGAUCAUUUAUUGGUGGGGGAAGGAGGCGACUGUCAGUCUUUAGAGGUGUUAGAGGCCUUUAACAUCUUUUCAUUUCCUUCCUUCUUUCUUUUUGUGACAGGAGUGAAAGGGGGAGGGAAUCUUCUUGGUGUUCAGUGAGGUGGUUUUUGACUAUAAAGGAUGCUUCAUUUUGGGUUCUAAUUGGAUCCAUUCUACUACUAAUUAUACAGUCCUCAAUACCAACAAGGAGUUGAAUUUGUUCAAUGGCUAGAAUGUCGUUACCUAAUUCAUUGUCUGAUCCAAACUCCUCGGCCUCUAGUUCUUCAACGGUACACUCUUUUGAUUAGGCCUUAGGAGGCAGUGAAUUAGUGACUGGAGGGAUGGUGUUUGGGAGAGGGAGGUGGUUUUGAUUGGUUUGUAAGGAGGCUGAGGGGGGAGCUUUGUAUUUGAAACUAUGAUGGGAGGUAGAGGAGGUUCUAUCAGAAUAGGUUGGGUUAUAAGAGGGGAGGUCAGGUGAUGGUUUUGCGGUUAAGAGAGGUCCUGGUGUAAGUUUGGUUCUGUUCUGGUUUCGUCUUUGUCUAGGGGGUGGGAUCAAGGGUGAGAGGGCAACAGUGAUAAAAAAAUCUUGCAUUGGUCACAUCUUGGGGGUUUCCAUUCGUAAUCAAUCUUUGUUGGGAUAGGUUUGUUAGAUAGGGGACUUACUAUCUCAAACUUGUGGACAGUAGGGAGGGCUGCAAAUAUCUCAACACAAACUCUUGCAUGUUCUAGUCUUGUAUAGUUAUAAGUUUAUUCAUCACAGGAUAGAGGUUUCCCUACCAUGUUCGUCAAUGACAGGAAGGGUAACCCGUGGAGUCGAAUCCAUAUUGGCAGGGUGGAUAUCUUGUUUUUGUUAAACAAGAAUCUAGGGUGCCAUUAUUGUAGUAUAAUGUUUUUCCCUCCAAACAUCCAUGGACCCUUCACCAUCAUGUCUUACAUAUCAACUUCUGUUCUGAACUGAAAAAUCAUAAAACCAUUGGUUGCGGUCAUGAUGUUUUCCAAACCAUUUUGCUUCCAAGCUCUGAAUGCUAUGGUAUUUACUUACUGGUAAGACAUCCUAUAUCUAGGGAAGAAGCUUAUCAUGCACCUUGUCUCUGCCUUCUCCAGAAGCAUAUCUUCUGGGAUAUGUAGUUUGGUUCCAACUGGUUGAGGAUUUAGAGGCUCCAGGGUGAAUCUGAUACUCUAACCCUUUCUGCCUAAGUGCCCUGGGUAGAGUUCUGAGCUUGUUGUUUAUGUUUAAUAGAGGGGUUUUGUAGGGGUUUGGUUUGUUUUUUUUUUUUUUUUGGGGGAUGAGAUUUUAGGGUGGGAGCUAGUGUUCUCUGUGUUGGUUGGAUAUCCAUGAUGGAUAAGAGGUUGUGUUGGUUUGCUAGUUUGGUUAUAGGUAGAAGUAUAUCAGGUAUUUGAGUUGUCUAUUAUUGUAAGGGGACAAUGUUUUGCAUGAAAAAGGAAAAACAAAUUGCAGGGAAAGGAAAUUUGCUCUUGGGAGGGUUGAUGUUUUUAAUGUAAGGUUUUUAAUUUAAAAAAAAAAUCGGUUUGAUGUUUUCUUUUAGUUGUGAUAUGCAGGUUCAAAAAAAAAAUCAAGCAAGAAGUCGGCUCAUGUCCAAUUCAAUCAAACAUUCAUCCUUGAAAAAAAAAAGGAGUAACAAUUUUCUAAUCUUUAUACUUUUCUUCUCUUUCUUUUUAACAUUGAGGAUAAUGUAAAACUUAAUUUUAGAUAUUUGAUUAUGUUGAAUGCUUGAGAUGGCUAUGCUUGCUUGGAAAGAAAAAAAAACUUGCAUUCGUAUGUGAGUGACACUUGUUUAGGAUCAACAUUACACUUUUGGAUUCAUUAUUGUGUUGAACAUUGCAUGCUUUAAUUUGGGAUAGAUAAUAUCUUAUAAAGCAAGAUAUAGAAUACUUUUUUUCCCUUAAGAUUAUUGAAGUACAUUUUUCUUUGUAAAAGUUGUGUGAGUUGUGUGAUUAUACAUAAAAGAUGAGUGUGAUGCUUUACUUGUGAUCAUCCCUUUUGAUCUAGUCCUAAACAAGGUUUAAGUAAAUAGAGUAAUAAUUAUUAGACAAUUAAAUAAAUAAAUGUGUACAAAGUUCUAUCUACUCCAAUGUUUUGAGUUGCUUAAAAAUAUAAGUAUGCAAAAAAGCACUUUAAGUUUGUGACUUUGUGAGUAACCGGGUGCAUUUAUCAUAAAUGUUUGUAUUCGCGUCAAAAGGAAAGUGAUCACUUAAAGACAAAGAAUAAAUAAUAUCUCUAAAAAAAAAUUUAUAUAUAGAUAUUUCUCUAGUUUGUUACCUUGUUUGUAGUAGUGAGAAGGGAAGAUUACAAGUUGAGUUUUCGCGUGAAUCAAUUAUGUUGGUUGCAUGAUAAAUACGAUUGAAUUUGGAAUUUUGCAUGGAUGUUUGAUUUAGAGAAUGUGAGUAUGCUUAUUUUUCUUUAUUCGCUAUUGUGUAAACUAAGUUACAGAUACCAAUGUUUGCAUGAUAGGUCCUUUAAGUGUGAUGAGUCGAGCAUAAUUAUGGUUAUUAUUAUUCUUUUUAUUUCAAAGGUUUUAUGUUUUGUUUUGCUUGAGGACUAGCAAAAUCUAAGUUGGGGGGGUGUGAUUGUGCAUCAAAAGUAUCAUUAAGUCUCUUAUUUUACAUAUGUAUUUAUUGUUUUUAUUUGGGUUUUUUAUAAUAAAUGAUGUGCUUUUUGGUAAUGAAGUUUCGUUUAAUGUUUCAAUAGGUUUUUGGAGCUUAAAUGAAUUAUUUCAGAGAAUUUAACGUCGGAAUUCGAAACAAAGAAUUGAAGAGAAAUUUAGUUGAAGAUUGAAGCAAAUCUUGGUUCAAAUAAGUGCUCCAAAUUUGCUCCAAAAAUCAAUUGAAACAUUAAACGAAACUUUAUUACCAAAAAGCACAUCAUUUAUUAUAAAAAACCCAAAUAAAAACAAUAAAUACAUAUGUAAAAUAAGAGACUUAAUGAUACUUUUGAUGCACAAUCAAGGGUGAUGGAGAGUUGAUAGGUGCUCUUUCCUAGGAAUAAAUAUUUGGUCAAAAUGUGGAUGAGUUAUAGGGGGGUACUUUGGCAGUGGUCAGGAGGGGUUCUGGUGGGCAGUGCUGGAGUGGUUAAUUCGAUAGCAAACUUCUCUAUAGGUCGCCAGCUGCUCCUUCUCUCUUUUCAUGGUAAAACACUCAUUAAAAUGUUCUUAAGAAAAAAGAAAAAGAAAAAAGAAUGAUAAGGGAUGAAAUUGAAAAAUAAAAGUCAAUUAGAGAAAUGAUAUAAAAAAUAACAAUUAAAAAAAUGAUGAUCAAAUCUAAUGUAAAAAUCAAAUCAAAUUAAAUUUCAAGGGUUGAAAUUGAAAAGAAAAAGGUGGUAAUUAAAAGAAUGAGGAUCAAAUAUAAUAUAAACAUCAGUUAAAUUUUAAGGGAAGAAAUUAAAAAGAAAAAAGUAGCAAUUAAGAAAAUGAAUGCCAAAUUUGAUAUAAAAAUCAAAUUAAACUUUAUUUCAAUGGAUAAAAUUAAAAAAAUAAUAAUAAAAGAAUCUAAAACAAUCAAAGAUUAAUUAAAAGAAUGAGGCUAUAUCUAAAAUAAAAACAAAAUGAGAGGAUGCAUCUUAUUUUUUGUUUGGCCAGCUCCUAUCCCGAGGUCAUGAGAGAGAAAAGAGAGGGAAGAGAACAACCCGACUGCUGCCAAACCACUGAGAACAACAAUACACACGCCAACUCAAUGGAAGCGUCACUAUUCAAUAGUGUUGUUGACACGACGAUCAAGCAUUUUUGGCCACUGGAGUAGAGAACAUGUGAUAAGUAUUUAAAAGUAUAUUUUUAUUAAGAUUUUAUAUCCUUAUAUUAUACUUAAAUUAUCAUUAAAUUCCAUAAUUUAAACAUGUUUUAUAAUAACAAUUUUGAUAAUAUAAGAUAUAUUUAAUUUAUGGUAAAUGUCCAAUUUUACAUGCAAGUUUGUAAAAUAGACACAUCUCACAAUUCAAAGGACUGAUUUAUAUGUUUAAUUAUUGAACGAGGUUUAUGUGAAGAGACAAAAAGAGGGCUGGGCUCUAAGAAGAAAUUCUAGUUGGGCUAGUUUUAUUCAAACUGAAACACCAUUCGGAUUUUAGGUUAUAAUUAGAGUUAUCAACCUCAUAUUCAUGUGUGGUUUAUCUUGAUGGAAAGCUAAGACGUAGACCUAUAAUAUUAAUGAAGACAAGAUUCAAUACUACCAUUUUUAAGUUCAAACUCUAGUAACAAAAGAGAAAUCUGAAUCUAUCUUGCAACCUAGAUAUUAUUUAGUAUUCGGCCCAUAUCUUAAGUUCUAAAAGUCUAAAUAAGCCCAUUCUUUUUGUGUUGAAAAUCUAAGAUAAACAUUUACAACUUUUAUGAAGACUACAUGUUUAGAUUAUGAUAUUAUCAAUGAUAUUUUGUCCAGAUACCAAAUUAAUAGUUCUAAAUUUUAACCUAUAAAAGAAGACAUUUUCCAUACAUCUAGACAUCUUGGUUUUCAGAUCAAGAUCGAUGCUCUUACUUUUUUUAUUUGCAUAUUUUAUUUUUCAAGUUUGUUAUAUUCUCAUUAAUCUCUUAUUUAUGCUUAUUUUUUUAUACUUAGUUAAUUUAUAUCAUAGCUAUGUUCUUAUCUUAUGUAUAUUUUUAUUCUUAAUUAUGUUUAGUUAAAUUUAUUUUUACCAAGGUGAAAAGGUUACACUAAUAGUGUAAGGAUAAGUAUAAUACAAACUCAACAAUUACUUUAAUGUUUAAAUUCAAGAAAAUUUAUUAUUAACAUGUGUUAUAAUUGUUAGCUUAAUUAAUUUUUAUACCUCCCUUAUUAAGUGGUGAGUCUUGAUUCAUGGUGUACAAUCCUUGACAUAACAAAUACUUAAUUCUUUCAUAGCCUAUUGUAUAGAGAAUCGACACCUGUGUUAUGAAAGGAUCUUGAUUUGUUAUUGAUAUCAAUUAGGACCAUGAAUACUUGACAAUAUUUACAAGUGUUGACAUUACUCAAAUAAGGUAAUUAAAUAUAAUUAAUACGAUCAUCUUAAUAACUUAAAUGAGCCAUUAAUGAUAAAUCAUCUGAUUAGUACCUUCUUUGUAUGUAAUUUCUAGUUGAGUAAUAAAAGAAGUUUGAACUAUACUUAUUUAAAAUACCAUUGGUGGAUCCUAUAACCUCAACAAUUAUUUUAUCUCUAUUAAAUCUUUACAUUAAUAUCACAUCUUUUAGAUCUCUUUAACUCUUUUCUUUUAUUAUUUGUGGUUAUGUAUAUUUAACCUCCAUGUAGAUUGACCCUGGUCUUCCCGAGUUAUUUAUUACUUUGACACUCCUAUACUUUGGAAAAGAUAUUAAUUAUUUUAUCAUGUCAAGUUUUUGGCAUAGUUGUCAGGGAGGUAAGUUAGUGUACAAACUAUAAAUGUUAUUCUUGUUUUUCUUUUCAUUUUCAUUUUUUCUUUUUUAUUUUCUUUUUCUCUUUUCUUUCUACACUUACAUGAAAGUUUGGUCACACACAUUAAGUGGUAGACUUUCUAGGAAUUCUUUAUCUUAUUUAGAAAACAUGGCCGAAGAAGAUAACUAGUCACUUUAAAAUGAUAAUAAUCGUUUUAGAACACUUAGAGACAACAUGAAUCCAAUAAAAACAGGUGUAUCAUCAUGUAUAGUUUUCUCUCUUGGUGUAUCUCACUUUAAUUUUAAGCCAUGUAUCAUUCAACUUUUAUCCAAUUUCUAUGGCUUAGACUCAAAAAAAUUCAUACUUGUAUUUGAGAGAAUUUGAAGAGGUUUGUAACACUUAUAAUGAUUUAUAUUGUAGCAUGAAAACCAUUAGACUAAAGUUUAUUCCUUUUUUCCUUAAUAUAUUAAGCUAAAACAUGACUACAAAAUCUUAAGUCAAGAUCUGUUUGUGCUUGGGAUGAAAUGCAACAACAAUUUUUAAAGAAGUUUUUUUCUUCUCACCAAACAAACUUUUUUCAAAAAACAAAUCGCUACCUUCACUCAAAAACCAAGAGAAAUAUUUUACCAGUGUUGAGAUAGAUAUAAAGACUUGUUUAAUACUUGUCCUCAUCAUAGUUUUGAAACAUAAAAAUUAGUUUCACACUUUUGUAAAGGUUUAUUACCAAAAUAUAGGCAAAUGAAACUUUUGAAGAUAAAAACCAUAAUGAAGCAAUAUAGUACCUAGACUUAGCUAAAAAUACCUAAAAUUAGGACACUACAAGCACUUGUGAGGCAUUGAGUAAAACUCAACCUUUUAGAUCAAGUGGAGGCAUGUAUAACCUUAAGGAAGAUCAUAACCUUCAAGCUAAAUUUGCAUAUUUAGCUUGCAAUGUUGAGGCACUAGAAUUGAAAAAGAGUGGUCAAUUAAAAUUUGUUCAAGAAAUUAUGUGUCAAAUAUAUGAAACUAAUGAACACUUAACCAAUGAUUAUCUAUAUUUGUCAUAUUUCAAGGAAUGUGUCUAUGAACAAGUCAAUGCUUUAAGCAAUUUUCAAAUGCCAAAUUCUAAUCCAUACUUGUAAACGUACAAUCAUGGUUGGAUACAUCAUCUAAAUUCUAGUUCGAAGAGUAAUAACAAUAAUGAACAAUCUUCAUAACCACCAUCUUUUCAAAUACACUACAACUUUCAAAUUUCUCAAGGAUAUGCUUGUCUUUAUGUUCCUCAUCUUAUCUUAAGCAAACAUUGUAUGCAUUCAUUGAAAAAUAAGAGUCAAUCAAUACUCAAAAUGCUUAAACUAUGGUGAAUUUGAAAGACCCUCUUGCAAAAUUCAUAUCUACUCUUAGUUUUCAAGAGAAAGGUAAGUUUCCUUUUCAACCAUAGUAAAAUACCAAAGGACAAUACAACUUAAGUACGAGUGACUUAGGGAGCCAAUAUAUGGAUUACGUGAAAUCAGUUAUGACUCUUCACAGUGGUAAAGUUAUUAAAAACCUAUUCUUGAACCUUGUGAAAAAGAUGAUGAAUCAAUCUUUGAGGGUAAGGAAGAUGUUGAACCCGAACAUUCAAAAAAAAAAAAAAGGACUGAUUCUCCACCAGUACUUUCAUUUUUUCAUGCCAUAACUAACCAAAGAAAAGUGAAUCACAUUUCUAAAAUCUUUAAAAUUUUCAAAUAGCUAAAGAUCAAUAUACCUUUGUUGGAUGUUAUUAAAUAAGCACUCUCUCAUGCUAAAUUUUUGAAAGACUUGUGCACCAUGAAAAGAAAACUGAAUGUGAAAAAAAAGCAUUUUUAGUCGAACAAGUAAGUGUAAUUCUUCUAAACAAUAAUGCUUUAAAAUAUAAAAACCUUGGUUGCCCUACAAUUUCAUGCCUUAUUGGAGAACAUAAAAUUAAAAAAGCUUUACUUGAUCUUAGAGCUAAUGUGAAUUUACUUCCAUAUUCAGUUUUUCAAAGUCUCAAUCUAGGUGAGUUAAAAUCAACUUCUGUAACUUCUUACUUGCUAAUAGAUCUAUAAAAGUUCCUAGAGGACUGGUUGAAAAUGUGUUAGUAUAAGUUGAUAAAUUCAUUCAUCCUGUGGAUUUUAUUAUAUUGGAUACACAGCAUGUUGAAGCAUGCAAUUCAAUUCCUGUUAUUUUAAUACAUCAAUUUCUUGUAACUUCUAAUACAUUGGUUAAUUAUAGAAAUGAAGUGAUAAAGUUAUCAUUUGAAAACAUGACAUUGGAAAUGAAUGUUUUUAACAUUUGUAAGCAUCUUGGAGAUGAUCAUGAUUGAUAAGAAGUAGAUUUUAUUGAAAAAAUAGUUUACAAUCAAUUUGAAACUACUCAUUGUAAAACUGAGUUCAAUGACUAUGAAGAUUCACAAAUGAUUUAUUUUCAGGAAGAAUCAAAGGCAAGUAGUUAGAGAUGAAAAAAAUAAAGAAUUGCCACCGUGAUUACUUGAGUUCAUACCUUCAAGUGUUUAACCACUAAAACUUAAUUUGAAACCGUUACGAUCUAAUCUCAAGUAUUUAUUUUUGGAAAAAAAUGAAACUUUUAUGGUAAUAAUUUUUUCCGAACUUAAUGCAAAUCAAGAAGGUAAGUUAUUACAAACUUUAAAAAUGUACAAAAAUACAUUAGGAUGGAACAUAGAUGAUAUAAAAGGGAUUAGUCCUUUGAUUUGCACACAUAUAAUUUAUUUGGAGGAAAAUACUAAACCCUCUAUAGAAAUACAACGAAGGCUUAAUCCUAAUAUGAAAGAAGUAAUGAGAAAUGAAGACAUUAAGCUUCUAGAUAAUAGAAUCAUUUAUCCUAUUUCUGACAACAAAUAAGUAAACCCUACCCAAGUUGUACCUAAAAAGUCUGGAGUCAUUGUGAUAACAAAUGAAAAAAAUAAGUUAAUUCCAACUAGGAUUAUUGCUGGUUGAUGCAUGUACAUUGACUAUAAAAUUUUUAACUCAAUGACUAGAAAAUAUCAUUUUCCUUUACCUUUCAUGGAUCAAAUCCUAGAAAGAGUUGCAAGUCAUGAAUUUUAUUAUUUCCUAAAUGACUAUUUAAGUUACAACCAAAUUGAAAUUGCACUUGAAGAUCAAGAAAAAAUUACUUUCACAUGUCCAUUUGGUACUUUUGCAUAUCUAAAGAUGCCUUUUGGAUUAUAUAAUGUAAUAGUCACAUUUCAAAGAUGCAUGUUUAACAUAUUUAGUGAUAUGGUUGCACGUUUUCUUGAAACUUUCAUGGAUGAUUUUCUAUUUUUGGUGAUUCAUUUGAUAAUUUUUUAACUAAAUUGGAAAAGAUCUUGAGUAUGUGUGAAAAGAAGAAUCUUGUGUUAAAUUAAAAAAAAAAAUAUCAUUUCACGGUAACAAACGAUAUUGUAUCUGGUCACAUUGUUUCAUCAACAUGAAUUGAGGUUGACACGUCUAAAAUCAAGUUAAUUGCUAACUUGCCAACAUUAAAAAUAUGUUAAAGAUGUGAGGUCAUUCUUAAGACAUGCUUGGUUUGUAAAUAUUGUUAAUUUCUUGCAACAAAAGAUUUGUCAUCUCAUUGAGGUACCCAAGAUAAAAGAAAAUUUUUGAGCAAAAUGAAGAACUUUUAUUGGGAUGACCCUUAUUUAUUCAAGUAUUGUCCUGAUCAAAUAUUUCAAAGAUGUAUUUUCAACAAUAAGGUAAGUAGUGUCAUUAAAUUUUGUCAUUUCGAGGCAUGCAAGGGUCAUUUCUAGUAAAAAAAAUAUGAUUGCAAAAAUCUUAGAAUAUGGAUUUUAAUGGAACACCAUGUUUAAGGACUCACAUGCAUUCUAUAAAACCCAUGAAAAUUGUCAAAAUUCAUGAUCUAUUUUAAAACAUCGCAUGAUGCCUUUAAAUCAUAUUCUCGUUAUUGAAAUCUUUGACUGUUAGGGUAUAGAUUUCAUAAGAUGAUUUCCUCUAUCAUUUGAUUUUUUGUACAUAUUAGUCAUAAUAGAUUAUAUUUAAAAAUAGAUAGAGGUAAUUCUAAGUCAAAAUAAUGAUCACAAAAUAAUGAUCAAAUUAGGUGAGGUGCUUGUGCUUUGCCGCAAUAUAUUUUUUGAUGUUUUUCUGGUUAAGAGUAUGUCAACAUGCAAAGAAUGGUUUGUGCGUAUAAAUCAUAACAAAGCAAUAGUUUAAGGUGUAAUUUAGCUAAUAUUGCAUUCAAGAGUCAAGAAAGUCUACUUACAUAACUCAUAUAUAAACAUUGAAAAGAGGAUGAAAAAACCAAAAAGCCAUGCUUGUGUUUUGUGCAAUGAAGGGCUUUGUCAUUUUUAUGGGUUGUUUGAAAGCCAUGAAGUAAAUAAAAAGUAGCAUCAUGGUAAGCAACAAUAAAAGUUAGUAUGCAUGGUUUAGCAACCUAUGCAAAAGAAAUAAACAUAUGUGAAUGAAGGUCUUGAAUGCAAGAGAUACUAGAAAGCAAGUGAGUCUGCACGUAGACAAAAAUGAAAAAAGACAUUAGAGCAACAAAGACAUUAACAAUAGAAGAAGCAUUUUGGAAAGGCACCUGAAUCAUUAUAGAGAAAGAAGAUGUAACUCAAUUUUUUUUUAAAAAGAAGUUAAGUAAUAAGUCUUUUAUGUUUAGAAAAGCAAACAAAGUUAACUACAGUAAGAGCAAGGAGGGUGGGUGGUUGCUAAUUAAAAAAAAAUGCUAAUGAAAAGGAAAUCCAAGAAAAUAUGAAUAAGAUGGAAGAGAUUAGUUUGUUUGCAAAUUUAAAAGCGAAUGACUUGAAAACAUGGGUAUUGCUGGUAUGCCGUUUGACAUCGUUCUCAAUAGAAGAGAGGAAUUGCAAAAGUAUCUCAAAAAGUACAAAUCAUGAACAAAUUAAUAAAUACAAAUGAAAAAAUAAUUUUUCACAGGGGUAAACAGUAGCCAAAGUAAUAUAAUUCAGAUGAAAAAGAGACUAACCUAAGUGUUUGACAGUGGUGAGUCUCAUUGCCUUUUUGCAUGAAGAGAAGCUUUUUGAGUAUCUGAAGUUGAAUCUUGGAUGUUGACUCCAUCUUUAACAACAUGAUUAUUGGUGUGAGAUGCAUCUGCUUGACUAUAAUAAAGAAAAACUUAACAAUGUAGUGGAAUAAAGGAAACAACUGUCAAGGCUAAAAAAAUAAAAUAAAAUUGACAUGUCUGUUAUAGAAACAUUGUUGUGGAAAAAAGGAAACAUUAGUGAAGAAAGAAAGAAAAUGCAUGUCCAUUAUCCAUGUAAUUCAAAAACAGCAAACCACAUUCAAGAAAUAAAUGGCAAAUCUGUUAAUGGAGUUGGAUUUUUGUGUGGAACCUAUGUUGCGCUCUAAAGUUAUUGAAGUAAAGGGUUUUUUUUUCGCUUCAAGGAUAAAGACAUUACCAAUAUCUAAUGGUUCAGAUAAGGGAGUUUCUAAAGAACCAACAAUUGUGAUUGUGUGUGAGAUGCUUUCUAGGGUAAAUGGGUUGGGCCGUUGUUUCUGUUAAGGUGCAUGAAAAACGAGGCUGCAAGUUAGUAUCAUCAACAAUGUUGUCGUCGAAGAUGUUUGUUAUGAUUAUCUCACAGCGGUUGGUCCCAACUCUAAAAGCACUAAAGCGCAGCUUGAAAGUCCAGUUUCUAUUUAGUUUGGCUACCAUUAGAGGUGUGACGGUGCUGGUGCUUGGGUCAUUUAAUUUCUUGUCAUAAAUGUAGUUGUGUGUAGACAACCUAAAGAAAUUUCUUAUAGUCUUACCAACCAACUUAAAAUCAAUGACAUCUACUCCAUUAGCAACAAGUGACUUUAAACCUUUGUCAAAGAAACAACAACACAACAAAAGUAGUAAAUAAGGAAAGACUAACAAAAAGCAAAUAUACAUGUUUUAUAGGUUUUGAAUGCCUUAAAAGAAGGUAAUAGAAGUGUUAUUACCAUGAUAGAGGUGGUUGGUUGAAGGUGUGGUCAUCUGGACACCUUUUUUUAUUUUUUAACCCUACCUGUGAUUUGGUACAUUCUAGGUAGGCUUCAUUCAUACUACCAUCCUUUAAACAAAUUAUAUUCAACAAUUGAGGCCUGAAAAGUAAACCUCUCAUGCUACAUAAGUGAUGGGAACAUAAUGCAAUGAAAACAUUGGAGUGUAGUAGCAUUGUAAAUAAAUAAAGGAACAAUAAUAAUGUUUUUGUUAUAGAAAGGUACUAAGAAUGUUUAUCUAUGGGGAGAAAAUGUAUCAAGAGAAAUAGAAAGAUAAAUCUUAAAAGACCUUAUGCUAAUAAUUAAGGACUCAUGUAGAGAAUUUCUCUAAUUGUUUUGCGAUUCUCAUUUCUUUGAUCCUCAUCAAGUGUCAUGAAGGUUCAGAAGGAAAAUGGCAGGAGCUGGACCUCUACAGGCAGUGGCAGAUGGAGGGGGGGCUGGCAGGGGCCCCGGCCCCUGCAAGGAAAUGCCCCUCCCUUGUAAAUAUUUAAUAAAAGUAACUGAAAUUUUUUCUUGGCCCUUCUAAUUUAUAAUUUGACCCCCCUAAAUAUUUUUUCUUGCUCCGCCCCUGUCUACAGGUAGUUGCCCAAACCUAAAGUAGUGAGAAAGGAAUGUUUGUUAUAAAUCCGUGUUCUAUAUGAAAAAUAUAAAAAGCAAAAUAAAGACAAAUCGAUGGAUUAAAACAUGGAAAAAUGUUAGCAAUAGAAAAUAAAGGCCGAAGAUAAUGCUCUUACCAGUUAGCAUUCUAGAACCCUUCCUCAUUGUCAGGAUAUGUGCAAAGUCAACAAAGUUGAAAAACUAUCUUGCGAUAGACGGUUUAAGAGGACAUUAGACCUUAGAUCAAUAACAACUUCAUGGUCGACAACUAUGUGUGGGUACUUGUUCUAAGAGGUAUAAAAGCCUCUGGUCUCGAAGUGAUCGCCAUCAAUGAUGUUUGAUCCAAGAUGCUGAAUAUCUCUAGCACGCCCGGAUCCUACAACGGAAGCAAAAACGAAGAAAGAUACAAGUCCAAUUGAUUAAGGUUUUAUUACACAUAAAGUUUGGAAGCUAGUGAAAGAAAAUAUAGCAGAUGAGAGCAAAUGAUUUCAAAAAAGCCGUCGUUCAUAAAUGUCAAGUGAAAAGAGCAAACCUGAGCAUCAACAAAUAAGCAAUUAAAGCUGCUAGGUUGGUCAGGGAUCCAUACACGGCAGGCAUGAACUUCUUGAUGUCCUUAAUCACAAAUGUCAUUGUGCUGCAAAAUAAAAAGAUGCAAGGGAAAGAGAGACAAGAAUAGAGUGAACUAAGAGGGCUAGCUGAAUUUAAAAAGACAGUAAGGCUAUUUUGGCCACUCUUACAAACAAAAAUGAACCAAAUAAGAGACAAUAAAGCUUAAGCAAAAGAUCUAUUGUCCACUUGAAAGAAUUGAUUAUGUUUAAACAUAUGUCAUUCAUUAAUGUAAUUUAUCCAUGAAUGGAAGAUCUUCUGCUAGAAAACAUAUGAGCAGUGUUGUAUAUUUAUUUCCUUAUGAGAGAUUAGAUGAGUAAUUAUAUGUGGAAAGAGACAGUGUAAUAGGUGUUGGACAUGCAUGGAUCUUCACUAUUUAAAGUCUAGAUAUAUGUAAGUGUGAUUGAUUGUGCUUAUAAAGAUGAUGAAUAUACAUAACAGUAGGAGAAUGAAUGAUAUCCAACAGAGGCAGAAUUACGCUAGCAUCUUUCUUUUAGGACUUUAUUUAGGAGACCAUGCAUGGUUGGAGAAUGUAGAAAUCUGCAACUGAAAUCUAUUUCCUUGCUUUGGUCUGGAGUGGCACAAAAUUAUAGACAUGUUUGUUUUAACCAUGGAUCAUGGAUUUGUUGGACUGCUUUGAUAUUUGUG
rnacentral:lncRNA from 1 species